rnacentral:rRNA from 1 species
GCAGGCCUAACACAUGCAAGUCGAACGGAAACAUGUCUAGCUUGCUAGAUGAUGUCGAGUGGCGGACGGGUGAGUAAUGCUUGGGAACUUGCCUUUGCGAGGGGGAUAACAGUUGGAAACGACUGCUAAUACCGCAUAAUGUCUUCGGACCAAACGGGGCUUCGGCUCCGGCGCAAAGAGAGGCCCAAGUGAGAUUAGCUAGUUGGUGAGGUAAAGGCUCACCAAGGCAACGAUCUCUAGCUGUUCUGAGAGGAAGAUCAGCCACACUGGGACUGAGACACGGCCCAGACUCCUACGGGAGGCAGCAGUGGGGAAUAUUGCACAAUGGGGGAAACCCUGAUGCAGCCAUGCCGCGUGUGUGAAGAAGGCCUUCGGGUUGUAAAGCACUUUCAGUUGUGAGGAAAAGUUAGUAGUUAAUACCUGCUAGCCGUGACGUUAACAACAGAAGAAGCACCGGCUAACUCCGUGCCAGCAGCCGCGGUAAUACGGAGGGUGCGAGCGUUAAUCGGAAUUACUGGGCGUAAAGCGCACGCAGGCGGUUUGUUAAGCUAGAUGUGAAAGCCCCGGGCUCAACCUGGGACGGUCAUUUAGAACUGGCAGACUAGAGUCUUGGAGAGGGGAGUGGAAUUCCAGGUGUAGCGGUGAAAUGCGUAGAUAUCUGGAGGAACAUCAGUGGCGAAGGCGACUCCCUGGCCAAAGACUGACGCUCAUGUGCGAAAGUGUGGGUAGCGAACAGGAUUAGAUACCCUGGUAGUCCACACCGUAAACGCUGUCUACUAGCUGUUUGUGACUUUAAGUCGUGAGUAGCGAAGCUAACGCGAUAAGUAGACCGCCUGGGGAGUACG